rnacentral:rRNA from 1 species
AACAUUGCCUCUUGAAAAUAUAAGAGGUACAUCCUGCCCAGUGACAUAACUCAUGUUUAACGGCCGCGGUAUCCUGACCGUGCUAAGGUAGCGUAAUCAUUUGCCUCUUAAUUGGUGGCCUGUAUGAAUGGACAAACGAGAGCUAAACUGUCUCUUACUUACAAUUAAAAACUAACCUCCAGGUGAAAAGGCCUGAAUAAUUUUAUAGGACGAGAAGACCCUAUCAAGCUUAACUAAAACUCCACACCAAAAAGUAUUAAUACAAUUUUCUAUGUGGCCGCUUAGUUUAGUUGGGGCGACUGGGGACCAAAACAAACGUCCCCCCUUAAAAAAGGAUAAUAAUCCAAUAAAACUGACCCGUAUUUCAACGACCAAGAGAAAAGCUACUGUAGGGAUAACAGGCUAAUCUUCCUCAAGAGCCCAAAUCGAAAGGAAGGCUUGGCACCUCGAUGUUGGCUUAAGACACCCCUAAAGUGCAGCAGCUUUAAAAGGUAGGUUUGUUCACCCUUUAAAGUCUUACGUGAU